rnacentral:rRNA from 1 species
GGUGAAAGUUUAUUUGCCUGAAGAUGAGCUCGCGUCUGAUUAGCUAGUUGGUAAGGUAAAGGCUCACCAAGGCGACGAUCAGUAGCUGGUCUGAGAGGAUGACCAGCCACACUGGGACUGAGACACGGCGCAGACUCCUACGGGAGGCAGCAGUGGGGAAUUUUCCGCAAUGGGCGAAAGCCUGACGGAGCAAGACCGCGCGGGGAAGGAAGGCUUUUGGGUUGUAAACCUCUUCUCUUAGGGAAGAAGUACUGACGGUACCUGAGGAAUCAUCCUCGGCUAACUCCGUGCCAGCAGCCGCGGUAAUACGGAGGAUGCAAGCGUUAUCCGGAAUUAUUGCGCGUAAAGCGUCCGCAGGUGGCCUUGUUAGUCUGCUGUCAAAGCCCAGGGCUUAACUCCGGUUAGGCUGUGGAAACUACAAAGCU